rnacentral:lncRNA from 1 species
AGAUGCCAAGAGGAAGCCUCUGUUGGAAGUCACUGCAGCCAAGUGGAUUCUAUCUGGUUGUAUGUCAAACUUAGCAGUCUAAGGAAUAAUUAAUGUUUGCAUCACUGAACUGAUUGGGAAUACUUGUUUCUGUGAGUUACUUACUUUUCAAGGUCUCCAGAGGAGACUUUCAGGCCUUAGUAAGGUCAUUACAGCACAUUAAUUUUGUCUUCUGGGUUUCUUUACUUGGUUUUACUUUAGUUUGCUCACAGAUGCCCCUUCCAACCAAGCACCAGGUGCUUAAGGUUUUCUUCCAUAAUUAGUUCCAUCAACAGUUUUUGUUUUUUGUUUCCUGAAUACACGUGUGUUAAUGGCUACAUGUACUGUCCUACUUAUACAGGGGCAAUAACCACCUUAUCAACAAUAAUAAUAUUGACUAACAUUUAUAAAAAUCAAAUGAUAUCAGUCACUCAGUUAUCCUUCUCUCCAGUUUCAGCCAGGAAACAAGUGAAAUUGAGAUAUGAUAUCGCAUUUCUGCUUGUAAAAUUGCGUUGGAGAAAUGGAAAAACUUGGCCCCAUCCUUAUUCAAUCUGUCUCCAGUUACUCCUGGAGAAACUUAAGAAGGCUACCCUGCCUGUAUCAGGGGUCAGGCCCUGACUUGAGACUAUCAAUUGGUAGCAAGAAGCUAAGGAGGAAAGGAUAUUCAGCUUCAAGGGAUGCAGGUAGGAAGCAGGAGACAGAGACAGACAGACAAGAGUUGGAGACUUAGGAUCCCUACAUUUCAGUGUAGCAACCCCACCUCUGGAAGCCAUGGCCCAUUGCAAGCUAGACUCACCACAAUCACAUAGCUCAUCCCUCUUCCUAUGGAGGAAAUGGACGUCUUCUUAACAGGAACCUUCUGGAAACCCUGCCUUCAUUCAGCAAACUAACUAUGCUAAGGUAAAGACCUGGCACCAAGGCAAGUCAUAAGGAGAUGCCUCAGGACUUCUUGGUUCCCCUAAAAAUAUAUAUUGUGCAAUCGUCUUUGACUUCAGAAUUCCAAAUUCAGCAUUGAAAAACUAGCUUAGUAAUGUUUCCACUUAGACAUUUUAGUAC